rfam:Punctularia strigosozonata HHB-11173 SS5 unplaced genomic scaffold PTNSTscaffold_13, whole genome shotgun sequence.
GGCCAUAUAGUGUAGUGGUUUAUCACUCGGGAUUUUGACGCUUCGCCAUUGAUUUCCCGUAACCCAGGUUCGAACCCUGGUAUGGCCU